AGGACCACGUCACUGUGCACCGCGUGCUGAGGGGCUGCUAAUUUGAUAAGGCUUUGCCGGAUGGUUCGGACGCUCAGAGGCGGGUCGGUAUGGAAACAACGUAAAUAUUUUCAAUCCUACAUCAGCAGCAACGCGUUGCCGGAGCUCGUCGUCACCGAUCCCCGCAGCCGUUUCAACGUGCUGGGGUGAGGAAAGUCUGAAAAGGGGGGGAAAGCUCAGGAAAACCAUCCCGGGAGCAAUCGGUGGGUAGCGGGAGCACCCCACGGGCUGGAGCAAACUGGCAGCGGGGAGGAGAAGGUCCCCAAAAAACCCAUUAUGACGUCUAAGGAAAAAUGACACCUGAUUUCCCCGGAGCGGCUCCCAGCCCCAGUUGCCCCCCAAGACGCUGCCCCACGCUCCCACCAAGUUGGGGGCAGGGCCCAAGCGUCCCCCCCCGGCCGCGGGCAGCAGCGGUGCUCGCCAGCGAGGCUCUGCGGGCUUGGAGUUUCCCCUUUCUACCCCAAUUCCACUAUGGAUGGAGCAAACCCUCCGCCGCCUCCCAGCAGCAAGACUCUGGCUGCUGCAGGAAAGCCUGGUUAUCACGGGAAAGAAGGGAGCGCAAGCCGGAAGAUUUAGCAGCUUUUGCAAAAGAGAUAAGCUCAGCUUUACUUCACCAUCAGCCCCAGUCCCGUCCUCCCCAGGCCACCUUACCUUUCCGGAGCCAUCUCCCGGGGAGGAGAGCUACAGCCAGGACCCAGCCGGUAGCUCCCAUCCCGCCACGCCGCCGUCCCCUCCUCCAAGCUCAGCCCUCUCAAAUUUGAGCUCGCCCCGGCGCUGCCAAGGGCCUCAGAUUAGGAGACGAGUGGAACCAGCUGCUUGGAUCACCCCCCUCCUCUCACCUCCCAGCUGGUCUGACGUCCUCCAGAUCGCGAGCCCUCGCGCCGCGGUUUCGGCAGCUCCAGGGGAAGGUGCGGCGUGGCGGCCGGGAGCCCGCGGCGUUACUGCCGCCUCCCCCCGGGAUGAGUCUCUGCUCCAGCCUCUUCCCCCACCUUGGAGACACAACUACGUCGUCCGGAAGAGUUGGGGGGCCGGGAGUGACCCCCCAGCCAGUCCCACCCCCCCCUGGUUUGGGCCAGCUGCAAACACCAGCCACUUAAUUCUGCUUUUUUUCCCCAUACCACUGCUAAAGAUACCCAAGAGCCAGGCAUGGCUGCCUGGAAAACACAAAAAACACCCUGAUUAAAUGAGGAUUACGUGCUGAC